rnacentral:rRNA from 1 species
GCAAGUCGAACGGAAACGAUGAGUGCUUUCUCUCAGGCGUCGGGUGGCGGACGGGUGGGUAAGAAUAGGAAUCUGCCCAGUAGCAGGGGACAACUGGGGGAAACGACAGCUAAUACCGUAUACGCCCUACAGGCGAAAGCCGGGGAGCUUCGGAUCUUGCACUAUAGGAUGAGCCUGUGUCAGAUCAGCUAGUUGGUGGGGUAACGGCCCACCAAGGCGACGAUGUGUAGCUGGUCUGAGAGGACGAUC